AGUCAACAAAAAACGAUGUACGUGUUGUUUGAGUUUGUCGUCAAAAGCAGUUAAGCAUCUGAAUUAAGAAACUACAACCAUGCUUUGAGAGUGUAUAAUGAAAGAUGUUUGCAAGCAGAAUACAGGAAAUGGAUAGGCAUUAUGACCAAGUUGUGCUAAGCUUUAAGUGCUACCCAUUCAAGUUUACUUCUUCUAAAUACAACACAAUCAUUGAAGCACUUAUGACUGUUUGCCUGUUUCCUUGGAAAUUUAUUUAAUGUUGAGAUGGUAAAUGUAGCCAUUUGUGUGAUAUUGUGCCAAGAGUUUUGGCAUGGACAAACAAAAUAGUUGGCAAGGGCAGCAGAAAAGUCCAAAUUUAAACACCUGUAAUGAAAAAACUGAAAGCAUUUGUUGCAUCCAAGCCAAUCUUCACCAUCAUUGUCUUUGCAUAUUUUGCAAACACCAGUAUUUCCUCUACAGCAAAACAAACAAAGGAAUUUAAAAUGAAUUUAAGUUUCUCAUGCACUAUAUAAUGCAUUAAAGACUGGUUAAAACAUACUCAUGAUUGUCAUAAUAGCAAGAGCUGAAUAUGGGUGAUAUUAAUUUCUCUUUCUCUAAUUCCAUUUUAAAAUUUCUGUUUAAUCUUGAAUUUUCACAAAUACACCUUGGAAACUGUGGAAAAGAAAUUGUUCAAAUUGUAGAAUACCAAGACAAUAACAGAAACAAUUCCAGUUCGAGACUGACUUUAUUAACGUUAGUAGCAAUAUUUAUUAUGUAAGACAUUAGGCGUUAACUAUGACUAAAGGAAGCAUUUUAUAUAAAAUAUGUAUAUAUAAUAUGUAAUAUGUAUAUGUACAACGUAAUGGAAGGGUGUAUUGGACAGGAAGAUUAUUUAAAGCGUAUGUUAUUUUUGACA